rnacentral:misc_RNA from 1 species
GAUGAAGAACGUAGCGAAAUGCGAUAAGUAAUGUGAAUUGCAGAAUUCAGUGAAUCAUCGAAUCUUUGAACGCACCUUGCGCCCUUUGGCAUUCCGAAGGGCAUGCCUGUUUGAGUAUCAUGAACACCUCAACUCUUCAUGGUUUUCCAUGAUGAGCUUGGACUUUGGGGGUCUUGCUGGCCUGCGGUCGGCUCCUCUCAAAUGAAUCAGCUUACCAGUGUUUGGUGGGCAUCACAGGUGUGAUAACUAUCUACGCUUGUGGUUUUCCAUCAGGUAACCUUCAGUGAUGGAGGUUCGCUGGAGCUCAUAAAUGUCCCUCCUCAGCGAGGACAGCUUUUUGAACGUUUGAUCUCAAAGCAGGUAGGACUACCCGCUGAACUUAAGCAUAUCAAUAAGCGGAGGA